ensembl:lncRNA
UCUCUCUCUCUCUCUCUCUUCUCUCACUCUCCCACUAUCCCCCUCUCUCUCUCUCUCUCUCUCUCUCUCUUCUCUCUCUCACUCUCCCACUAUCCCCCUCUCUCUCUCUCUUCUCUCUCUCCAAUUAUCUGUUGAGACACCUCAGAACUUAUGCACAAAAUACUUUCCACGUGCACUUGUUUUUUUUUGUGUGUUUUUUUUAUUUUUUAAAUUCAGAAUGGUAAACGAUAAACCGAGAUGUAGUUUCACAUAAACCUGUCUAGAUGUUUUAGGCCGUUUCACCUGUUUCUUUUCGCGUCUCUGAACGGAGAGUUCAGAGUUCAUACAAAAGCAGCGCGUUGCCACGGAAAGUGUUUAUGCAUAAACCAACAACCUCGGUUGUCUGUCCUCUGGCCCUCCAAAAGCCAUCCUGGUACGGACUCACACAAACAGGCAACAGACUGUCGUUUCCACGACGACGUUGGAGGAGCCUUGGGGAAUUUUUCUCAUGCAAUUCGUGACACAGUAUAGAGUGUUACUGACUAUUUUAUAGGACAACAGGAAACAGAGCGAAGGGGGGGGAACAGGAAUCGGCUUCAUACGAAAGAUGAAUCAGAACUGUAUUUUUUUUUAUGUUUGCUUUUCUCUUUUGGGAAUAUAUAAACUCAUGUGCAUUAAAAGAGGUUAGAAUGGAUUUCACAGAACCGUCACGAUCCUGCGUGUGUGCGUGUAUAUGUGUAAAUAUAUAUGUAUACAUGUGGCUGGCACACACCUGCUGUGGACCUUUUUAAUCAAUCUGUAUGCUGACUCCUUGGCGGAGGCCUGUGUUAAAAAUACUCCUGUCCAUUUGUUACUUGUGACAGUGGUUUGGGGACGAUGAUGUCACACUGUAUGACGUCACAUGUCGGUCCCUCCCUUCUGGACUUUGGUUGGCCCGGUGUGAUUGACACUGGCAGCGUCGCCUUGGAGAUGACGAGGAAGAUGGACAGAGCGAGGGAGUUGAUUUGCCGUUCAUUAGAGGCGCAGGGGUGAAAUGACCACCCCUCCUCUUGGCCCCUCUCUGUCAUUCUCUCCAGUCCCCUGAAGCAGGAAGAAAACCCUUUGAUCUAUCGAUCAUGUGCGGGUUGGUGCCACACACCCCUUUCCUCCAUACAGCCCCCCGCUCUGUCUACCCAAACACUUCCAACCCACCACACCACACCCCCAUUCCUCAAUACCCCCCCCUCUGUCUACCCAAACACUUCCAACCCACCACACCACACCCCAGUCCUCCAUACCCCCCCCGUCUACCCAAACACUUCCAACCCACCUCACCACCCCCCAUUCCUCCAUACCCCCCUGUCUACCCAAACACUUCCAACCCACCACACCACACCCCCAUCCUCCAUACCCCCCUCUGUCUACCCAAACACUUCCAACCCACCACACCACCCCCCAGUCCUCCAUACCCCCCCCCAUCUACCCAAACACUUCCAACCCACCACACCACACCCCCCAUCCUCCAUACCCCCUCUCUCUGUCGACCCAAACACUUCCAACCCACCACACCACACCCCCAUCCUUCAUACACCCCCCCGGUCCGUCCCCGUCCACACAGUCUCACUGUGACCUUCUAGCACACUCUGCUAGACAGGCAGACGUUUAAUGACAGUAGUUGGGACUGACUGACAAAUGGACUGCAGGCCAACAGACGGACAGACAAGCCUGGCAAAAGAUGAACUCGACAGAAAGAUGGAUAAACAGAUUACAGAUUGACACACAGGAGAAUAUAACGCGAUAAUGCAGCGAGGACCGUUGGUUUGCAGGGAGAGAUGGAGAGAUAAGGAAGACAAAACAGCUGUGUACGUGUUCAGGGAAGGAUGAAAGAGAUGGCAGGUGGACAUGAGUUGGUCUUAUGAAAUGAAGUGGCCUGAAGAAUAAAUCUGUCAUCUAAGGCCCCCCCCCCCAUCCCACGAAAAUGUAUCGAUUGCCGGUUUCAGUUAGCGUUCCUUUUUUUCUUUAUUUUCUUUAUUCUAAACCCAAAGCUUAGCCCCAUGACGAAGAGACACCCCCCACCACACACACAAAAAAAAAAAUGAUUGCUCCCAAUGUUUGCAAUGGAAAAUUUCACUUCAGGGCUCUCGCAAUAUAAAAAUAAAAAAUAUAUCAUAUUUGUUGUAAAAGAUAUGUACAUAUAUAUUUAUAUCUAAAUAUAUCCAAAAAUAUAUAACUAUUAAAUAAAACAGAGAGAGAUCUAAAGUCAUCAUAUUUGAAAAUAUAUGAAAAUAUAACUCAUGAGACAAUCGCUCAGUGGACGCCGCCGCGGGUUAAGAGGAAGAGUGGAGGGAGAGGAGGAUGGGAAACAGCUAGCACAACCAAGAAAGAUAAAGAGAGACGAAAAUGAGCGUUAUAGCUACGGUAUCUGAGGCCGAGUUUGAGGACGUGAACAUUGAGGCCAUGGCCUCGCGGUCGUUGGCCCCUCUGCCAGGUACAUCGGUAGCUACAGUGCAGGAACAGAACUACACUAAACAUGCCGGUCAGGAUGUAAACCUAAGUAUCUACUGUAAGGAGUUAAGGCCCAGUGAUGGGUUGUACCUUAGCCAGUGAUGGGUUGUACCUUAGCCAGUGAUGGGUUGUACCUUAGCCAGUGAUGGGUUGUACCUUAGCCAGUGA